CCACCGCGGUUAUACGAGAGGUCCAAGUUGAUAGUUCGCGGCGUAAAGCGUGGUUAGAGGUGUACACUACACUAAAGCCGAAGGCUCUCAAGGCUGUUUAACGCAUACCGAGAGUAUGAAGUCCAGUUACGAAAGUAGCUUUAAAUUACCUGAACCCACGAAAGCUGAGAAACAAACUGGGAUUAGAUACCCCACUAUGCUCAGCCCUAAACAUUGAUUGGACUCUACAACCCCAAUCCGCCUGGGAAUUACGAACAUAAGUUUAAAACCCAAAGGACUUGGCGGUGCUUUAUAUCCCCCUAGAGGAGCCUGUCCUAGAACCGAUAAUCCCCGUUCAACCUCACCCUCUCUGGCCCCUUCCCGCCUAUAUACCGCCGUCGCCAGCUCACCCUGUGAAGGUCCAAAAGUGAGCACAAUUGGUACAGCCCAGCACGUCAGGUCGAGGUGUAGCGAAUGAGAGGGGAAGAGAUGGGCUACAUUCGCUGACCACAGCGAAUUACGAAUGGAGCAUUGAAACAUGUAACUGAAGGUGGAUUUAGUAGUAAGUUAGGAACAGAGUGCCCUACUGAAGCCGGCCCUAAAGCGCGUACAUACCGCCCGUCACCCUCCCCUAGUCUACCAACUUCCCCCUUAAAUAAAGUGUCAAUCUUGCGAAGGGGAGGAAAGUCGUAACAUGGUAAGCG
rnacentral:rRNA from 1 species